UACAGAGGUCUCAAGCGUUGUUCGGAUUCAUUGGGCGUAAAGGGCGCGUAGGCGGCGGGGUAAGUCUGAUGUGAAAUCUAGGAGCUCAACUCCUAAACUGCACUGGAUACUGCUCUGCUAGAGGACUGGAGAGGAGACUGGAAUUCACGGUGUAGCAGUGAAAUGCGUAGAUAUCGUGAGGAAGACCAGUGGCGAAGGCGGGUCUCUGGACAGUUCCUGACGCUGAGGCGCGAAGGCCAGGGGAGCAAACGGG
rnacentral:rRNA from 1 species